CUGCAUGCAGUCCAUCAGUUAACCAAAUCGGAGCUUGGAAUCCAUCAGUUAAUGUUUUACAUUUAACGAGCCUGCUGCCUUUAACAUAGCAACAUACCGCAGAACAGAGCUGAGGCUCUUAAAGGAUCAACAGUAACCCCAUCCCCCAUGAUUUUCCAGGCUGUUGGAUUUCAGCAUCUUUUCCUGCUCUCUCAUCUCAGCCUGCAUUCCCUUAACAGAAACCAGCUGGCAAAUCUUAAUCUGAGAAUUCCGCACAAUUGAAGCCAAGUGAAAGCAAAAGAACAAAACUCACAGGACAAAAGAGUUGAACAUGACCAGGCUUAAUACCACUGCAAAGCAUCUGGGAAAGAUUUGACAUUUUCACCCUGAGCAGUUGUUCUUUCAAGAAGAGAGAGCAGCCAGGAUUCAGUGCCAAGGAUAUUUGGCAGGAAAGAUUUGCCAGAAAAGGCAUGAGUGGCAUUGCACUUUUCAGCAGCAAAUAAGUUACCUUUUUAUUCCCUUUAAUGGUUACCAUCAGUCUUGAAAGAGACAGGUAUUUUUCCACAUGAACAUGCAUGCUUUUUUGCUUUCUCUCCAUCUGAAGUCCAGGACUGGUACAUCUGAGAAACAGCAGAAGGGAAAAGUUAAAAGCAUCAAGAUUUCUGCAAGCAAGAUGAGAGUAAUGUAAAAUGUACAAGGGCAGAAUAUGGAAUUGCAUGGCAGUAUUUGCAUUUCAAGUUGCAAGCUCAGUAUUGUGUAAUGUUGGAAGAAUUAUCAAUUUAGAACAGGGCUUCCUGAGGCCAGCCACCAGAGAGCAAACAAGGUGGUGAGAAUUCAAAACGUCCCACCCUCUCUCUUUGAUUGAUCAAUUCAAGGAGGGGAAGACACCGGCCUUUUGUUUUUUGUUUUUACAUCUUGGCUAAAGCUGUUGAGAAGAAAGCUUCAAAUGCAGAAACAAAGGAAAUUUUCACAGCAACUCUAAUUCGCCUCAUAUUAAAACAGCUCUCAUAGCCUUUUAAAAGCUCUCAUAGCCUUUUAAAAGCUUGGGGGGGGGGGGAUAUUCAGACUGGAAUCCUUCUGUCGCUUCCCCUCCAUUUUAGAAUUCAUUAAGAACAGGAGAUGGCAGUGUUUACUUCAGAUCUCCCAGCAUUUUUAUCAAAAUGCUAACUCAUCAGUUUUCAUAAUUACAAGAGAGGGAUGUAAAAUAAAAGGCAGCCAUACACGCACCAAGAUUCAUUGAAGGACUGUGAAGAAAACAAUUUGAUUCCUUUUGCAACCUACGAAAUUAAUAGGAGGAGGAGAUGUAUUCUUUUAAUUAGCAUUUUUAAAUCACUAAGAAGGGCAAGUCAUUAUCACUUUAAACCCUCAGAACUCAGGCCCUAUUCAGAAUGGAAGAGCCUAGCUUUCCUUUCGCAUCUAACUGUGCCUAAUGCUGAGGAAAAUAAUAUUUUAGGCCCAGCCUGAAGCCAAGUAAAGGAGAAGCUGAUUCAUAGCUCACACUUACCUCAUGCUGUCCCAGGCAGUGUAUGAUAGCACUUAUACAUAUUUUAUAAAAAAUAACUGUAUACAUACAAUAAAACAAGAUGUAUGUAAAUAUAUACAAUGACUGACCAUAAAUCAUAUUAUCUAAAAGUGUUAAAUGCAAAUAGAAAUGUUUUGGGUGUGUAUUUUAGCGCAAGUCAGAGCUGCCACUGCUAACAGGCAAAGAGAAGCAAGCAAGCACCACAGACAAGGAAUAAGGGAAAAAAUGAUGGCGCAGCUGGGGAAUUUUAAAUUCUGGACUGAAGAAUCUCAGUUGUUAGUCACUCACAUAGAUCAGUGUUUCUCAGCUUUGGCAAUUGUAAGAUGUGUGAACUUCAACUCCCAGAAUUCCCCAGCAAGCAUACUGGCUAGGAAAUUCAAGGACUUGAAGUCCAUAUAUCUUCCAGCUACGAAGGAUAAGAAACACUGAUGUAGAUAACUAUUCCUUUCAGGAUGAAGGAUACAAUUGGCAAUGUUCACAUCAUGUCCCACCCAUCCACCUGCCCCCAAACCGUUCUGUGCUUUAUUAUUGUUACACUCUACCUUGCCAGCUAUGAUUCCUGCACACAGUUUCCUGUUUGAAAUUUAUUUAA